UGGGGAAUCUUGCGCAAUGCGCGAAAGCGUGACGCAGCAACGCCGCGUGCGGGAAGACGGCCUUCGGGUUGUAAACCGCUUUCAGUUGGGACGAAGCCUGUGCCGUUAAUAGCGGUUAUGGGUGACGGUACCUUCACAAGAAGCCCCGGCUAACUACGUGCCAGCAGCCGCGGUAAUACGUAGGGGGCAAGCGUUGUCCGGAAUCAUUGGGCGUAAAGCGCGUGUAGGCGGCUCAGUAAGUCCGCUCUGAAAGCCCGGGGCUCAACCCCGGGAGGCGGGUGGAUACUGCUGAGCUCGAGUCCGGAAGAGGAGUGUGGAAUUCCUGGUGUAGCGGUGAAAUGCGCAGAUAUCAGGAGGAACACCAAUGGCGAAGGCAGCACUCUGGGACGGUACUGACGCUGAGACGCGAAAGCGUGGGGAGCAAACAGGAUUAGAUACCCGCGUAGUCC
rnacentral:rRNA from 1 species